rnacentral:rRNA from 1 species
AUGGAGGCAGUCGCAAUGUCGCCGUCCUCCGUCUCGUCCCACAACCUCGACGCCGCCUCCACCAGCGACGACAUGCCGUCCUCGCAAGAGGGCCUCCUCUUCUCGGACAGCCUCAAGGACUUGAGGAAUCUGCGGUCGCAGCUAUACUCAGCGGCAGAAUAUUUUGAAGUAUUCUACACAAACAACUCGCACAGAUCUACGGUGGUGACGAGUUUAAAAGACUACGCAGUUGAGGCACUCGUUAGCACGGUUGACCAUCUUGGCUUUGUGUCGUACAAGGUGGAUAAUCUCGUCAAUGAAAAGGCUGACGAGGUUAAUGAAACAGAAUUUCGAGUAUCGUCGGUUGAACAGAGGGUAAAGAUUUGCCGGCAGGCAAUUGACCAGGAGGGAAGAUCUCAACAGUCUCUUCUUAUCAGGGCGCCGCAGUACCACAGGCGUUACAUAUUACCAGGCGUAGAUAUAGUGGAAUCCGCUAUCCAUCCAGUUUCAGAGCCCACACGGUACAGCAGGCAACAUACGGGUCGCAAAAUGCGCAAGUCUCAGUCUACCAUGUCCACUCCAGUUAGUAGGCAGACAACGAUGAGGAGUGUCCGUUCACGGUCUCCAGCAGUUCGUGAAACACAUCAUCGAUCACGAUCCAUGUCGCCGUCUCGAAAAGCGCGAGCUAAAUCACCAUCACCCCAAGUCGUGAACUUGAAUCCGAAAGAAACAAGAGCAGGUUCGCCAAUACCAACUAUUCCCAUUCCCCUGGCGCGAUCUGCUACAGUUGCAAGAAGACCACCUCUGGAUCCAAAGCAUUUUAGACAAACCUCGAUGCAGGUGCAGUCCGACUAUGAACACCAGAAAGAGCGGGAGAAAAGAUCAAGCAAAGGCAGGGGCUUCCUCAAGUCGCUGCUCACAAGACGCCGGUGGAGGAAUGACGAGUCGCUCUACAAUUACUUGGACGAGUACUGA